CUCGUGCAUUCAAACAAAACUUUAUUGUGUGUUUAGUUACCUGUGUGUACAGACAUUAGGAAAGUCAGGGUGUACGGAAUCUAUCUCCUUGUUUGCACAACGAUAUUAGCAAGCUUUCACUGCAGAAAAUCCGUCUUCAAAACAUUUGAAUCAUGAUUUUAAGGAAUAGAGUACAAGGUCAUAUCAGAGGUGCUGAUACAAGUGCAUAUAAACGUCUGCAUCCAUCAAGACGUAUAGACAAAUAUACAGAAACUGGUUCAAACGUUGCAGAAGACAUUGCUUCUACCAGAAACGAAGGAAAGAAAAGGCGUCAUAACAAUGUCCUGGAUUCAGACUCAAAAGCAACAAGUAAAUCGAAAUCUGGCAAGU